UUAAAAUAAAUAUAUAUUAGAUUAAAAAAAUUUCGCUGUAAAAGUGUAUUGAAUUUUAGGUAGAAAUCUAGAUUGAUAUCAUGCGCAGCUUUGGCCAGACAGAAUGACUGAUUAUAAGAUUAUAAGAUUACAAAAUAUAAAAUUAUAAGAUAAGAGGACGAUUCGUAUUUCCUGCGAAUAUAAAUUCAUCGGAAUAUUGGCAAACAGGAUAUUAAAAAAUUUCAAGCAAAAACACACGGAACGAACGAGCAUAAAUCGAUAUUCAAUUCUAUUUUCUGAACUAUCCGAAACAUUCAAACGAAUAUUUCAUUUGUGACUAACAAAUACAACAUCGCAAAGAGCGGGUAUAUACAUAUCCAUUUGAGGUGAAUAUUCCAGCAAAAAGAGGUUCCCAAGGAAAUGGGCGGAAGAGCAAAGUGCAAAUUUUAUCGCAACAAAGGACAAUAACUCCUUUCUAGCGAAUGCAUUCCUCGAGAACUGCACGAUAGGGUCAGAGAAAAUAGCAAACGUCCCUUUCGUUUUGUUAAAAAGAAAAGGUGAAUGAAGAAAAAUUUUGUCAUAAAAAAAAACUCACGAAUAUCAGUUGACCGGUUGAUAAGGUUGUUACGAAAAAACAAAGUAAAAAGAAUAAAGUAAAGAAAGAAAGGAACAGCGACGACGCAUUCGAGCUGAUUACUCGUCGUAGCUUUAGAUAAGAUUUAUACAAAAGACGGCCUUGGUAGGUUUGAUUGGAAGGAACGAAGACAAUGAUCUAUGAAAUCAUAUCUAGAUUAUCGACGAGAAGCGUGAACAAGGAAAAUACCAUAUUGAAAUAUAUCAAUUUCUUAUGAUACGUUUCAUAUUAAUUACGAGCUUGUUGAUGAUAAAAUGCGAAGGACGAUAAAGAUGCGGGAAAUUAUUCCGCGAUUUAAUUCACAGUUUUCGUUCGUUUCCCUGAGCUAUGUCGUCACAGCGAAAACGAACAACCGCCGACGAAUUUUCGUAACGGGAAUUAUCUUGUCAAGAUAAAGCAUAUAUAUAUAUAUCAAUUUUUCACAACACACAAAUGGUAGUUCAAGAAGCAUCGAGAUCGUCAUGAAAUAAUUAGGAGAUUCUUAUUAAGAACAAUACUAUUGUAUCAACUAAACAAGCAGAAACGAAGAAGUUAAUUUUAUUCCAAAAAUAUAUGUACUUCAAGGCAAAAGAUGUUUCGCAGAUGAGAAUUUUAUACAGAUAAAAGGCUAUUCUAGUGGCUGCGGACUUUUUCAUUAUCAAAUUUUUAUCUGCUUCCGCUUUAAAUAAAUUAAAAGUCAAUUUCGAUUAAAUAAACCGUCCAAGCGUUAAAUAAUUGUAAUUUAGAUAAUCGAACCGUACUAGUUGUAAUCUCUAGUCAUAAAGAAGUUCGUAAAAAUACCCAGUCUGUGGAAUGGCUAUUUCAAUUAAAUUUUAUUCGACGACUUUAUAUGUAUAGAGGAAAGUAGGCAUUGAAAUGCACACUAGUUACACGAGGCUUUUUAACGAUAAAUAGCGAAACUUCUUUCAUAACACUUCUCGUUGUAUAAAUAAAGUUAUUGCCUGCAUUCUACUAUAAUUUUUUACUUAACAAUUUUGUGAUAAGUAUUUUCAGCUAAGAAAUUAUUAUGUAGCAGAAAUGGAUACUCAAGCAUCAAAUUGCCAUUAGGAUUAAACGAAGAACACAACAUCGAUAAGAAAAAUUACAAACAAAUAGAGUCCAAAGAUCCAACAAAAGUAUUCCAGAAACUUCCUUAACAGCACUGCCAAAAACGAAAUCUCUUUUGAAGCAAGCAGGAAACGGUUCCUGGAAAGAUCAGUUCAUUUACAAUAAAAAAUGAAAAAAUACGUAUAAAAGAGACCGAUGUGAUAGAGUUACUGCGAACAAGUUCCCUAAGAAAGACCACAAACAUCGAGUGGCCAUUGAAACAAAGAGAGCUACCGUACAGAGGCUCGGUUAUCAGCAGAAAACAUUUUUCCUGGGUGUCGGGAACGAUAACGUGGCCAGGCCACGUUCAGCACGAGUGAGAACAGUCGUGAGCGACUACAGGCAGCAGGAAUCGUACACAGCUGCUGCCGGCCUGAUUGUUCCUCCCGGUAGAACCGGCGAUCGGUGUCACUGUGUCGAGCUGUGCUACCGGUGACGUCACUGCUCAACACCGUCAACAGCCAUCCCCUCUACGAUCCUCGUAACGCUAUUCACGACACUUGCUUACUUACGACACUGAAUAAGGAACGAACGCCAGAGAUUAGCAGCUGGCAGAUAAUGUUGCAGCGUGUAUGCGAAAACCGGCUUUUUCUCGGUCGGACAACGAGCCACGCGGUUUCGUUGUCCCUAAGUGAAGUUCAGCUCCAGUAAAAAGACGUAGAUCACAGUAAACGAGAUCAAACAAUGAGUCAGUUGGCUAAGAGUACAACUACGACCAGUUUAAUGCUAAUGGGUUUCGAUCAACUGUCUUGGAUAAAAUACAGCUGAAAACUCCUUAACGCUCUUGUCAGCAGUUCUUCCUACUCUUCAUGCGUCAUUGUGCACGCAUAACGUCACGGCCGCUCGUGGAAAUUGACGCCACAGCUUUUAUUCGGAUUUUACGAGCUUGGAAACGAAGGACUGCACUGCGAUACCGACCUUAAAUUUAUCAACUGUGUCACAAUCAUCGUGUAAAUUCGUAAAACUGAACAGAGAACCAUAUCCGAUGACAUGCUCGAGAAGAAAACGUUCUUUCUGCUUCACGGUCUCGGAUACGAAAGCUGAGAAGACAAGAGACACGGACGGUUUCGGGGAACGAACUUUCUUUUUGGCCUAAUUGGAGAAAUUAAUCUUUUUUUAAAGUGGAACACUUUAUAAUAAAUAUUUUCCUUUCUAAGUGGAUCACUAUGCGAGUUCCAUUAUUGAAGUAUUAUUUAUUUUGGGAUAAUAGGAGAAAUUAAAUGUUUUCGGAAUAGUUGCGAUAUGAAUAUAUGUAUAAGUUAUACAACGUAUACGUUGUGAAUAAGCAAUAUCUAUUUCCGUAAAUUGCAAACAAUUUUCAGUAUACUCUGAAUCUGUAAAGACUUCAAGACCAAACAAAACUGCACAACAUUUCUACAAAUUCAGAGUAAAAUACUCAAUGUAACAACUGCAUUUCGAUGAUUAUAGUUUGCGAUGGCUUCGGUAUUUCCGUCUUUCUUCUCUUUUAGUGUUCCCCGUUGAAGGAAGGCAUGUACCAAAAAGCAGGUCACGCAACGGCGAUAACGGUAAUCCGUGCAGUCGUGGUGUAACGGCGUUCACGUGGAAAAGCAAACGAAGAAAAGUGUUUUGCUCGCUUACCCGUAGAAUCACGGCAAGACACGAUUUAUAAUGACUGCGAACAGACUAAUGACCGGCUGGGUUUACCUUCGAGUCAUCGUAGCUAUUGCGACGACGGCAAUUCGGAAAUCCCGAGCUAAAUUGUCUCUUCUAACCGUAGUAGAAUCGUAUUAAAUUAAUCGUCAGAUGAAAAAUUCACGGUGAAUUACGAACUUCAAUACGUGGAAACUAUUUUCUUCGUAUAAUAGAUGCUUAACAGGUGCUUUAAAGAGAUUGUGUUUGCUUCGAAACCAGAAUAUUGAAAAUAUAUUGAUAUAUGGAUAUGUAACUUCCAAUGUAACGUAGCAUUAUAUAUAGAUGCUUAAUCUAAAUUCUAGUUUCGCUUCGUGCAUUUAAUCCUAGUUUUUUAAGUUGUAUAGUUUCGCUUAAUCUUAAAAUGAAAGUAUGUUAUUAAUACUUGCAAGUAAUAUCUUAUUAUCGAAGGAAAUCAGAGUUACGAAAUUUUGAUUUUUGCGAUAUCCAAAAUCUCUGACCUAAACAAAUACAAAUCUUAAGUUAAUUUUUGCAAUCGCACCAGAUAAGCCCUAUUAAAAAUGUAACAAAACCGAUAUAUGAUUACUAUCCACUCAACUACCUAAAGCCUGGCUCUAUCCCUCUUCACCUCGGAUAAAAAAUAUCAAACAAAGAAAGUUUAUCGUUCAACCAGAGCUUACUCAUUCAUCGACUAUGCCGUUAUAUAUGUCGUUGUUCAUCGAAACGACCACACAAACCUAAACUCACAGACAUCCACGUAUAUAUGCAUGUACAAAACCUAUUCGCAUACCCACGUACAUAUAUGCAUAAGAGAGUACUCGAUCCAGUUCGUGGCGCGUUAUCGAAAGGCGAGAGUGUCAACGUUCACCCGCGCGAAAGUGAAAAUCUGGGGCUGCCGGUCGUAGCACGAGCGAGAGAUACUACUACGUUUGUCGACUGUGUCGAGGCGGGCGGGAAAAGGCCGGCCCGCGGCGGUAUCUAGGCUGCGACCCGGUUCGCGAUAUCAUUUAGGUCAUUGUGUUCAACCGGGUCCAGCAAAACCGGGUAAACGCUGCCCAAUGGCGGCGCACGACGCGCCACGCUGAUCCUGCUCUCUGGCGCACACCUUUUCGACGCAUGUGCGCGUAGUACGGUGUGAAGAAACGCGACUACUAUAUCGCUCUCUGCUCGCCGGCCGGGCUUCUCUUUAUACACGGCGUGCGCGCGCUCGUUAUAUCACAGGCGACGUUGCGUAAAAUGUACGCUGGCACACGCUCGACUCUUCUGUUACUCGGAGAGUAUGUGGCCGCCUUUCGCCCCUCUCCUGGCCCCCUUUUAAACCUAUCCCCCCGUUCCGCCGUGCGUUCUGCCCUCCUACGACUCCACUGCUACCUCCUUGUUCCGUCUCUUUACACGCGCCUUAACCAGCACCGCGUGAACGCGAACACGUUCCGAGCUUCUUGUUCUACGUAGCGAAAGUUUGUUUUCAUUUUUAGUCUCCCUCCACCAAAACCGGUGGCCGACCGGCCCGCCAUCGCCACCUGACUUUUCAUCUGGCGUGCGCGCACAUCAAUACGCAGACUGAUAGCGAACCGUAAGUGACUCUGUGAUUGAGAGGAUCAAGAAUUCGAAAAAAUAGGUGGGGACUGUAUCUUUUACAAUUGGUUCUCACUUGGAAAUCGAUAGAAUAGUUUAAACAAGAAAUCUUUCCCAAUUGAGGCAAAACGAUAUCCGAGAGCAGAUCGCAUCGUCCCACGUGUUUCGAAACCUCUAUAGAUACCCACACGCGAGCGCCUUAUUUUACAACAGAAAGGUGUAAUCAGUAUGUUUGUAUUGAUUAUUCAAUCAGUGGUCAGAUCAUCCAACUAAUAAUUGCUUAUUUUAUCUCCAGCGUGUAAAUAAUUGAACACGCUUUAUCUCGGCCGUAGGAGUGACUUAUUCAGCUGUCUCGUUAAAUCAUCCAAGUCCCCAUAUUCAAUUAGGUAUUUGAUAGUGUAUGACAUGGAAUCGGUGAUACGAAAGACCACCUAUCUUCUGCCACAUAGAUGGAAGCGCGGUACACUGGAAAGUCAUAAAGUAGCAAAAAAUAAGAACAGCAUAACGAGCACGUUCAAUCGACGCCUUUAUGCGGGAGAACUCUUCCUCCCGUUUUCCCAAUACACCAUCGCAUUCGUGAGAGCCGACAGGAUGUAUGUAUUGCACGCGCGUUUGCCACAGGGACGAACAGAACACGAUACCUUUCCUGUGAAUCUCGCGCGCGUGGAACGCAGCACGCGUUCGUGUGCACGAUCGGUACCUUCUCGACCUACUUCUCUGAGAAAGGCCCGACCUCGCUUUUCUCUCUGUGCAGCAGAUACGCGCCACUUUUCCUCGCGUCCUCGUGCGUCCUAUGCAGUAUGGCACGCGCAUCAACUUUUCGUGCCCUGGCCAUUCGUUCGCCAGGGCCAGCACUAUCGAAGCAUGCAAUGUCACACUUCUCGAUGAUGACGAAAAUACGCUAUACAGAUUCAGAUGAUAUUAUAUUCUACUAUUUGAAUUUGUUCUUUAAGAAUUAAAUUAGAAUUCAAAUUAGAAUCAGGAUAAUUUAAUGUUUAUUCGAUUCGUACAUAGAUGUCUAUUGCUUGAUUUAAAAUAACGGGUUAAAAGGAUUAGAUAAUAAAGGUAAAUACUACUUUGUGACGAUCUACAUUGUGUUAUACCACGCAUAGUGCUCUUCUUACGCGGUACUAUUGACAGAAACUGUUAGAAAGUCUCAGAGGACUUGGGUGAUGCAUAUUCAACCAUAUAUUAGCUCGGCGUGUGCAAGGUUGCAUUAUCGAUCAUAAUUUACGACGCGUGCUGCAUUGUUACGUCAGUGCAGCUCGUUUACGGCCAAUAUUAUCAGGUGGGAGCGAAGACGCAUAAACUUACACGCGUUAUGCCUACGAUCAGCUGAUUUCGCACUUCGUGUCAAUUUCGUAACAAGCAAACAAUCGUUCCAAGUAUCUAAAGAGAAAAAACUCCUGGUGCAUCUGAAACGUCAACUUUUACCACAACAAUUAAAAUGUUAUCCAUCCAAAUAACUCCGGGUGUCGGAUUCGAAAAUCAAGGACGGCAGUUUGGCACGGAUUUCAAGCGGCAUGCUGAUUUACUUUCACGCGGACAAUGAAAUUUCGUUCACGGCCAAUACGCUGUUUAAAUAACAGUAGAGAGUGUCGGCGCAUAUCGAGGAGCGUGGGCAAAGUAGCAACGAUUACUCGGAUGGUAUUGAAGAACCAUGAUUCCGGGUAAUCAUACCGGCACGCGCGUUCUAUUUUGCAAUUCCAUACCGUCACGUCGGCGUGUGCAACUUAUUAAAAGUCGACACGUCUCGCGCGUACUACGCGCCCAUUUCGAGGGGAACCUUGUGAGCGAUCGUACGCGAUGCAUAAGUAUUGCACCGGGUGGCAUGGAGUUGUUCUAAUAUCCAAGGUAAUUGUACUCAGACGUGCUAAUGAUUGCGACACAGUCGCAAUCGCCGUAAACCAAAUCAGAAGGAGCGUAAGAGGGAGGGGGAAAGCAGGUAGAAAGACAUUUGUAUAGUACGCGCCGGACAGAGAGAAGGCGUUGCAUUGUAAACUCUAUGACCGACUUUAUAAGCGAUCGGCUAGGAUACAGUGCCUCCAACGGUCGAUCGGCGCAACUAACCGCCAUGUUGUUUCCAAACCCGAAAUCAAGUUCGCACCACUCUUUACAAAGAGAAAGGUAAACGCUGAUCGCUACCUCGUCCGAAAUUAUGACAUAACUUUGGUUUCGCUGUGUUUUUUUGUGGAAAGGGAAUUGAACGUUCGUAAAAAGAGAAUGGAAUUUUUCUUUUUUCUUUUCCUCUUUCCACUUAAUGGUAGAUUCUUAACCAUUCAGUCCACGUAACAACUAAUAGCAUCGAUUUUACUCCUAGUUUCGAUACUGAUCUGCAUUUUAGCGCUCUUAUGCAUAUUCGAUUUUCGCUGGUGAAACGAUGUUAAACAGAUGUUCGUUUUCCGUGCCAACCUUUCCUAAGAUCGACUGUUAUUCUGCACUCGGUAAUAAAUACGAGGCAAGAAUAUAUAGAUCUCAAAAGAGUUACAUAAAUUAAGAUAAAGAAUCUAAAACGGAGAAGCGAGUACUUUAAAAUCUGCUAUUAUCAAACUAAUGAUUUCUAUUAUAAAUUCUGUAUUCUACCGAACCUUAAGAUUAAUUUUUUUCAUUUAAAAAUAUAAAAAUAAUUUAUAUCACGUAUAAUUCUGCUACGAUUGCAAAGUUAUAAUGCAGUAUGUAUCGUUUCUAGUUUCGAAUUGUCGAAUAGGACCUAUGGACAGCUACAGCGACGGAGGCCGGACAGCCGGCCUAUGACUAUAAGUUAAUACUUAUGUAGAGUGACCAUCCGUGAUCCAUCUUGCGUAACCUAUUUACCGGCAAAGUGGUACAAGCACAUAUGACAUAAUCCCGUGCAACAGAGCACGCACUGUGCACUUUACAUUCCGGCCUGUUCGAAUACUAUUUUAAAUAGCCCAUACUGCGAUUGUGCGCCUGCGCGGCAGCUCGAGCCGGCACGCCGCGCCGCAACAGUGCGCGACGUUUAGCAAAUUAAAAAUACGCGAAGAAAAUCAGCCCGUGAAACAAGAUGAUACAAUUUUGCCAUUAUUAUAUAUCCCAUGGAACCUUUCUUUUACGCCCCACUUGUUUAUUUUAAACAUACUUUUGUUUCCAACAUACUUUUAAAACUAUGCAACAAGAUCUUUGAGAAUCUUGAAGAACUUAACUUCAUAUUCUGAUAUCGAUUAUGUGGAACUUAACUUUAUUCUUAAAUCUAACGACUAUAGUUUUUCAGUCUAAAUAGUAUUUGGACACUUAAUUCCAUCUACUUCACACUCGGUAAGCUAUUUUUAUAAACUAUUUAAAAAAACGUACAAUUUAUGUUUGAAACCAGCUUUAUGUAUGUAGAUCUUAAUCGAACCUGCAAAACCUCUCUCGACUAAACUGUAAACAACCAGAAUAUUCGAAACGUGGCGGAUAAAAAUACUAUAUACUCAAUCAAACUCCUUUUACAAUCAGUUUCCCUCGGUCGAGUUCGUAACCUCGAAUCGAACGAGCACGCGACGAAAAGAGGCGAGGUUAGAGAGAUCGAGAGAGAUUGACCACCUGCUGCUGAGCGUGGCCCGAACAACUAGAGCAAUGAAUUAUAACCUCGGAUCUCAUCGAGCUAUCGGCAGCUGUUGGACGGACGUUUCUUCUGUAUGGCAGAAAAAUUAAAACGUUCUGGAUUCCCCGGCGCAUACAGCGAUUGGUAAGCAAAUAUAAGAGAAGAAAAGCAAGAAUGCAUCGAAACUAACAUGCGUAUUUCCAAAAGCGUCAGUGGCUACAAGAUAACACGAACGAUCGCGUGGAAUGAAGGAAACACCCGCGUAACUACGUCAGACUGCUAGACAAGCCUGUACGCAUACCGACAUUUGUUUACAUCGCGAACGGUUGUGCGGAUGCGCCUCUAUGUAUGUAUGUAUAUAGAGUCGGGCCAGUUAGGUCUGGUAAGCCUGUGCCGGGAUAUCUAUCUUUGGAUCCACGCACGAAGUGCGCGCACACACUGGCCAUCUCUUACUCAAUCGUCUCACGCCUGUGCCGGUGACCAGUGACACCGUUAAACGCGACCAUUAUUUCGAAUGCGCCCCGCAGGUCGGAUAUUUCCGUGGUGACCGUAGAUAGACCCGAUGGAUCGCACCGUUAACGGCGAAACGCACUCCCGCAGUAGAACGUAUUACCACGUAUCCAAUGUUGUGCUAUCUUUUCGUCGCAGUGAAAUGCACGCGUCAGUGAUUCUCAACUUUUGUCGGUUACGGUUGUUUUGUCAUGUUGGUUGAAGAGUGAUUAUGUUGGACAAUUUGACAGAAGAGUGAGCGAGUUUGACGAUUGUGACCGCGAUAAGAGAUACGACGAAAUAGCUGCGAGGAUUUGUAAGGAGGCGAUUUUAUUGCGCGAUCAUGUCGGUUUGAUAGGGUACUUGGAAUCCAGAUAGAGAAAGAUGUGCUAGAAUAAUAGCAAAAUCAAAAUAUGAACACUAUCUUUGAGGUGGAUUUAUAUAUAUAUAAAUGUUUAUUGAAAAUAUAAUAAAACUUGAUAUAAAAAAUAAAUUACCUUCUAAGUUGAUACUUUUAGGGAUUCAUAGCAUGUAAAUUCUAGGAAGCAUUUAGUUAAAUACGUAAGAUGCAUGUUUAAUUAAUUGCCGAUUAUUUGUAGUAGUAUAACUCUGAGCAAGUAAAGCCUUAUAAAUAUUCCGAUAAAUGUCACACUACGCUAAUUUCUUCCUCUUUCUAUGAAAUUGUAAACGAUGGUAAAAUCUAAUAUUUCUUAAUUAAUGAAAAUUUCUAAUUAAUGAGCAAAUCAAUUGUUAAAUUUUAGAAUUCCUUAUAAUUCUUUAAAUGAAUAGUGAGUACAGCCAUGAACAAUAAUUUGAAAAAAAUAGGGACUGCAACGAAGUUGACGGUCGAGCGCCAUGGCUAUUGACAUAUUGUCAGGGCUAACAGAAGGCACGUCGACCGGUGAGGUGUCGAAUCGCGAAGUGGACGUUACGAAACUGCAUAUGCAAGAUGUUUGCUAAAGCAGAGGUACACGAUAGUCGGCAGAACGCACGGAAGCUUUAAAAUUACCACUUACGCGUACUUGCGCUAACAGAUAAACGCCGUCCAGUAUUUACCGAUUCACGGUUCGGUAAAUACUUCGACGUCACUAAAAGUCAGCCAUGUACGCUCGCUUAUGUGUUGCAUGUAUAAACAGGUAACGAUGUGGGGAAGUACUUACGUCAGAGUACUACAUCGGUGGAUUAAUUAUGGCGAUUAAAGAUUACAGAUGAUCACGGUGAAUUAAGGAAGACAGGAACACGAAAAACACGCUCUGUUACGUAUAUCUCAUCGCGGAUACGAUGAUUAAAAAUAAUCAUAAUUGCGAUCGAGAAGAUUAAGAUGAAUCUCUGAAGUUUACUACUAUCACGUGCCGGCGAUAAUGUGUUCGUUGAAACCAAGACCUGAACGAUUUUCAUUCAGAAUUUAUGCUUUCGUUGAUGUUAAGGAGUAUUAACGUAAGAAAAAGUUCCCUUUUUUUAAACUUCAGUUCUCUCUUGAAUGUAGUAAUAAUUGCCCUAUAUGUAUGUAUUUCAAAUAAGAAUAAACGUGUGUUGAAAGGUUUA